UACGAAGGGGGCUAGCGUUGUUCGGAUUUACUGGGCGUAAAGCGCACGUAGGCGGAUCGUUAAGUCGGGGGUGAAAUCCUGGAGCUCAACUCCAGAACUGCCUUCGAUACUGGCGAUCUUGAGUCCGGAAGAGGUGAGUGGAACUCCUAGUGUAGAGGUGGAAUUCGUAGAUAUUAGGAAGAACACCAGUGGCGAAGGCGGCUCACUGGUCCGGUACUGACGCUGAGGUGCGAAAGCGUGGGGAGCAAAACAGGAUUGAGAA
rnacentral:rRNA from 1 species